CUUUCUCGCGACUCUCUUCUCUCUUUCUCUCUCUCUCUCUCGACGGAACCCGCGAGACACAUCUCAAAUCCAUAGUUUUUCAAUCGAUUCACACCUCAAAUCCAUAGUUUUUUAAUCGAUUCACCUCAAUCUUCUCCUAAAUAUGUUCAUCAAGCCAUAGUUGAUGAUAGGUUUGCAAAGAUGUCAAAGGAAGAAGCUUCUACCAUAUUAAUUCAGACUACAAUUAGGGGAUAUUUGGCAAGACGAGAAAUUGCAGGCGUUGAAGGGGCGGGGAUAGACUUAAAGCUACUGCCUUAUUAGUGCUUAACUCAUAAAAUUAGUUCUACUAAACCAUGCGGCUUCUCUUGCUUACAUUGGGUCAAUGAAACCACUACUACCAUCAAAGCGGCUGAUGGUCUGAAACACAUGACAUGGAGCUCAGUUUCUCUGAAACCGCUCAGGGGAACCAACAUGUGACUAAGUACUGUAACCAUUCAGGUUAAAAUGUGCUCAAGUUCUUAGUGUUAACGCGGUUGACAAAAAACAAGAACACACCUCUGCAUUACGCUGCUGGUUACGGGAGGAAAGAGUGUGUAAGAACUCCUCCUAGAGAAUGGUGCUGCAGUGACUCUGCAAAACUUUGACGAAAAGACACCCUUUGAUGUGGCAAAGCUCAACAGCCAGCUCGAGGUUGAGAAGGAUGCUUUCCUUUUGAGCUUCUGGUUCUUAAGCUCAUAUCGUCUUUGAGAGAGAUUUACCUUGAUAGGGUUUCUCUAGUAGAAGGGUUGCUCAUUCACAAAGUCUCUUCAUCCAGCGCCAUAAACAUCGCAUAUAUAGCGUCUCUCACCUUGUGUGGAUGACUGCGUAGAAGAAGAAGCCAUGUCCUCCUCCAGAUUAUUCCCCGAGCCCACCACCACAAGAUCUCACUAGUAUGCUGUGUCUUUCAUAUGCGACGCCGAACGCACUACCAUGGUAAAUGAUAAGAUAGUCGACUUUGUAGACCAUGUUCAAAAUUCUCUUCAAACAAUUAAUAAGAGAUUUCACUUAACUAUAAA